rnacentral:rRNA from 1 species
UAAGGAAUAUUGGACAAUGGACGCAAGUCUGAUCCAGCCAUGCCGCGUGAAGGAUGAAUGCCCUCUGGGUUGUAAACUUCUUUUAUAGGGGAAGAAAGAUACUUUUUUUAAGGUAGUUGACGGUACCCUAUGAAUAAGCACCGGCUAACUCCGUGCCAGCAGCCGCGGUAAUACGGAGGGUGCAAGCGUUAUCCGGAUUUACUGGGUUUAAAGGGUGCGUAGGCGGGCAUGUAAGUCAGUGGUGAAAUACCGGAGCUUAACUUCGGAACUGCCAUUGAUACUAUAUGUCUUGAAUAUUGUGGAGGUAAGCAGAAUAUGUCAUGUAGCGGUGAAAUGCAUAGAUAUGACAUAGAACACCGAUUGCGGAGGCAGCUUGCUACGCAAAUAUUGACGCUGAGGCACGAAAGCGUGGGGAUCAAACA